rnacentral:rRNA from 1 species
UACGUAGGGGGCAAGCGUUGUUCGGAAUUACUGGGCGUAAAGCGCACGUAGGUGGGUCGCUAAGUCGGGGGUGAAAUCCUGGAGCUCACUCCAGAACUGCCUUCGAUACUGGCGAUCUUUGAGUCCGGGAGAGGUGGGUGGAACUGCGAGUGUAGAGGUGAAAUUCGUAGAUAUUCGCAAGAACACCAGUGGCGAAGGCGCUCG